CAGGCUUAACACAUGCAAGUCGAGGGGCAGCAUUUUAGUUUGCUUGCAAACUGAAGAUGGCGACCGGCGCACGGGUGAGUAACACGUAUCCAACCUGCCGAUAACUCCGGAAUAGCCUUUCGAAAGAAAGAUUAAUACCGGAUAGUAUACGAAUAUCGCAUGGUAUUUUUAUUAAAGAAUUUCGGUUAUCGAUGGGGAUGCGUUCCAUUAGUUUGUUGGCGGGGUAACGGCCCACCAAGACAACGAUGGAUAGGGGUUCUGAGAGGAAGGUCCCCCACAUUGGAACUGAGACACGGUCCAAACUCCUACGGGAGGCAGCAGUGAGGAAUAUUGGUCAAUGGGCGAGAGCCUGAACCAGCCAAGUAGCGUGAAGGAUGAAGGCUCUAUGGGUCGUAAACUUCUUUUAUAUGGGAAUAAAGUUUUCCACGUGUGGAAUUUUGUAUGUACCAUAUGAAUAAGGAUCGGCUAACUCCGUGCCAGCAGCCGCGGUAAUACGGAGGAUCCGAGCGUUAUCCGGAUUUAUUGGGUUUAAAGGGAGCGUAGGUGGAUUGUUAAGUCAGUUGUGAAAGUUUGCGGCUCAACCGUAAAAUUGCAGUUGAAACUGGCAGUCUUGAGUACAGUAGAGGUGGGCGGAAUUCGUGGUGUAGCGGUGAAAUGCUUAGAUAUCACGAAGAACUCCGAUUGCGAAGGCAGCUCACUAGACUGUCACUGACACUGAUGCUCGAAAGUGUGGGUAUCAAACAGGAUUAGAUACCCUGGUAGUCCACACAGUAAACGAUGAAUACUCGCUGUUUGCGAUAUACAGUAAGCGGCCAAGCGAAAGCAUUAAGUAUUCCACCUGGGGAGUACGCCGGCAACGGUGAAACUCAAAGGAAUUGACGGGGGCCCGCACAAGCGGAGGAACAUGUGGUUUAAUUCGAUGAUACGCGAGGAACCUUACCCGGGCUUAAAUUGCAACAGAAUAUAUUGGAAACAGUAUAGCCGUAAGGCUGUUGUGAAGGUGCUGCAUGGUUGUCGUCAGCUCGUGCCGUGAGGUGUCGGCUUAAGUGCCAUAACGAGCGCAACCCUUAUCUUUAGUUACUAACAGGUGAUGCUGAGGACUCUAGAGAGACUGCCGUCGUAAGAUGUGAGGAAGGUGGGGAUGACGUCAAAUCAGCACGGCCCUUACGUCCGGGGCUACACACGUGUUACAAUGGGGGGUACAGAAGGCGGCUACCUGGUGACAGGAUGCUAAUCCCAAAAACCUCUCUCAGUUCGGAUCGAAGUCUGCAACCCGACUUCGUGAAGCUGGAUUCGCUAGUAAUCGCGCAUCAGCCAUGGCGCGGUGAAUACGUUCCCGGGCCUUGUACACACCGCCCGUCAAGCCAUGAAAGCCGGGGGUACCUGAAGUACGUAACCGCAAGGAGCGUCCUAGGGUAAAACUGGUAAUUGGGGCUAA
rnacentral:rRNA from 1 species